rnacentral:lncRNA from 1 species
CAGUGCUGUUGUCCUCCAGUCCCACAGCUCUCCAGCCUCCCACCCCACCCCACCCCCCUUCUCUGAGGCACGUAUCAUUAGCUGAUGCAAUUUGUUGGGACCUAGAUCUGCCUCCUGUCUCCCGGGGAGAGAUAUGGAGAAGGAGGAGGUCUUCUGCACAUAAAACAGUUUCCUGACUGCACCACACAGGUUUGAGGCUCCUCUCCAGAGGAGGCAGGGCACAACAUCAGGUUACACCAGGCUGGGAAACCUCACCCUGCAGUCCUCUGCUCUAAGUCUGGAUUUCUUCCCUGUGGGAAGCAACUCCUUUCCUCUUCCUAUGACCACUCUGCUCAUUAAAGACUCACAUCCUCUGCUUCACGUGAACGUCCAAGGAACACGGUACGGAAGACAAGUAUAGCUGUGGUUCUGCUGUGGCUCUUCUCCAUGAAGUGAACGAAGAACAGCCUUGAGUACCACACUGGAGUCUGACUUUACGAAGGUUCCUGAGAGAGGGGGCCAGGCAACAGACAUGGCUUUUUGUUUUGUUUUGUUAUGUUUUUAGUUGUUCUUGUUUUAAAAGAAGGGACAGUUUCUUAUUAAAGUAGGUAUUUAUUU